rnacentral:rRNA from 1 species
AGAGUUUGAUCCUGGCUCAGAACGAACGCUGGCGGCAGGCUUAACACAUGCAAGUUGAACGGGAUUUGUGUGGUGCUUGCACCAUAUAAUGAGAGUAGCGCACUGGUGAGUAACACGUGGGAACGUACCUUUUGGAGGGGGACAACAUCUGGAAACGGAUGCUAAUACCGCAUAAGACCUGAGGGUGAAAGAUUUAUCGCCGAAAGAACGGCCCGCGGAAGAUUAGGCAGUUGGUGGGGUAAAGGCCUACCAAACCUACGAUCUAUAGCUGGUCUGAGAGGACGAUCAGCCACACUGGAACUGAGACACGGUCCAGACUCCUACGGGAGGCAGCAGUGAGGAAUAUUGGGCAAUGGAGGCAACUCUGACCCAGCCAUGCCGCGUGAGUGAAGAAGGUUUUCGGAUUGUAAAGCUCUUUCGGAUGUGACGAUGAUGACGGUAGCAUCUAAAGAAGCCCCGGCUAACUUCGUGCCAGCAGCCGCGGUAAUACGAAGGGGGCGAGCGUUGUUCGGAAUUACUGGGCGUAAAGGGUGUGUAGGCGGUUAUGUAAGAUAGCGGUGAAAUCCCGGGGCUUAACCUCGGAAUAGCCGUUAUAACUAUGUAGCUAGAGUUAUGGAGAGGAUAGCGGAAUACCCAGUGUAGAGGUGAAAUUCGUAGAUAUUGGGUAGAACACCGGUGGCGAAGGCGGCUAUCUGGCCAUAUACUGACGCUGAGGCACGAAAGCAUGGGGAUCAAACAGGAUUAGAUACCCUGGUAGUCCAUGCUGUAAACGAUGAAUGCUGGUUGUCGGCUUUAGGGUCGGUGACGAAGUUAACGCGAUAAGCAUUCCGCCUGGGGAGUACGGUCGCAAGAUUAAAACUCAAAGGAAUUGACGGGGACCCGCACAAGCGGUGGAGCAUGUGGUUUAAUUCGA